rnacentral:rRNA from 1 species
CCCUUAGAUGUCCUGGGCCGCACGCGCGCUACACUGAUGCAUUCAACGAGUUUUACCUUGGCCGAGAGGCCUGGGCAAUCUUUUAAACCUGCAUCGUGAUAGGGAUAGAUUAUUGCAAUUAUUAAUCUUGAACGAGGAAUUCCUAGUAAACGCAGAUCAUCAAUCUGCAUUGAUUACGUCCCUGCCCUUUGUACACACCGCCCGUCGCACCUACCGAUUGAAUGGUCCGGUGAAGCCUCGGGAUUGUGGCCAGCUCACUUUAUUGGGAGUUGGCUGCGAGAACUUGUCUAAACCUUAUCAUUUAGAGGAAGGUGAAGUCGUAACA